UACGUAGGGGGCGAGCGUUGUCCGGAUUUACUGGGCGUAAAGCGCGUGUAGGCGGGGGAUUAAGUUGGGUGUGAAAGCCCGGGGCUCAACCCCGGGAUGCCGCCCAAGACUGGUCUCCUUGAGGACGGAAGAGGGGAGUGGAAUUCCUGGUGUAGCGGUGAAAUGCGCAGAUAUCAGGAGGAACACCAAUUGCGAAGGCAGCUUGCUGGGACGUGACUGACGCUGAGACGCGAAAGCGUGGGGAGCAAACAGG
rnacentral:rRNA from 1 species